UCCCUCUCCUCAUUUCCUUCUUCCAUUUCUCUUCCCUUUUUCCCAUUUCUCCUUUCUUUGUUCACCCCUGUCCAUGGCAGCACUUGCAGGGCACUCCCCUGUUUUCUUCCCCUCUCCGUCACUACUGCCAAUGCCACCUUCUUUGGCCGGCCAUCACUGCUACAGCUCUAUCCUUGCCACUCCUUUCCCUCUUUUUUUUGCUUUGUUCUACAUUUUCAGAUUACUUUCAUUUCUUUGUUUCUGCUCAGUUUAAUUUUAUUUUGUUAAUUAAUUAGUCUUGAUUGAUUAGAUUUCUUAGAUUGAACGCUGUUAGUUGAUUUAGGUAGUUAGGUAGGUUGAACAUAGUAUGUAGAGGAUUUAGGUCUGUUUAUUUUUCUACGGUGAAUGUGUUUGGAUUGAAUUCUUAUGAAUUUGAACUUGUUAUAUGAUGAUGGUUUUCUUGUUUUUUAGAUUGAAUUGUGAAAUUAUUGCUCCACUCAAUUGAAUUUCUUUGUUUGAUGCCUGUGAAUUGAUAUCUGAAUUGCGUUUGUUUGUCUAUAGCAUUCAUACGGAUAUUUGUUGAUUGAAUGAAUUAAUGCAAUAUGAUGGUUCCUUGCUGAGUUGAUGCUGAAAAGUGUUUGAUUUGGUUUUCAAUAUUUUUUUAAUAGGGUUGCCUAAUUAAGUUUAGCAUAUUACUGAAGUUACUUUGAGAUUUUAUUGAGCUCAAUUAGUCAACUAUCCAGUAGCCUAAAUUCUUGUUUUGUUAUUGAAUGCUAAGAUUUCUUGCUAUUUUGUUUUAUGUGAAGCUGUGUUUUAUGAACCAGUGAUACAAGUUUCCUAUUGACGAUUUUAAGUGUCAAUAAGACCGUGUGCACCAAUUGGUUAUUGAAUUUGCAUCAAUGAUUUUACUGAUGGUUUUGGUCUAAUUUCUGCUUCAAUGCCCGUUUUCCAUUCAUUUCAACUAAAUGCGUUGAAGUAAGCAUUUUAAAGUUUUUAAAUGAUCAAACAUUUGAAUUUCGCAUUUUCAUCAUUGAACGCAUUGAUGAUGAAAAAUGUUGUUUUACUAUUACUCUUAUCUAUUUCAUCAUAAUUGGCUUGUGCAUAUGCACUUGUAACCAAUGUUCUGAAAACCGGACCGGACCGGCCGGUCGAACCGGUUUAACCGGGAACCGGCAACCAAAACGGUCCGGUCCGCUGUCUAUAACCGCUCUGUCAAGAACCGUUUAAAAACCGUUGAACCGGACCAGAACUGGCCGGUUGGAUCGAACCGGAAACCGACCGGUUCCUUAAAAACGACGCCGUUUGGAGUUUUUUGGAAAAAAGAAAAAAGGGAAAAGCAACGCGUCACUCUCACCCAGUCACCCCCUUCCCCCAACACCCCUCUCUCAUUCGUGAAUGCCACACUCAUGUCAUCCUCUUCUAAAGCAAAGUUCACAAUACUGACAAACCAAAACCCUAGCCUCCUCCUCAACGAUUCUACUACCGCCGUGCGUGGUUGUCGGCGCCUCUGUGGGUUCCUCCUUCCCCCUUUCCCGAGCCAAAACCCAGGACCUCUAUUCUAGCGCGGCACGUCAUCCCCAUCCCUGGCUUCUCUGUUCAAGCCUUGGAGCAGCUCGCUGUCGUCUCGUCGCCAUUUCGUUUACAACCCAGAAAAAAUAAACAAAGCUUCGGUAGCGCUGAGAGCCCCUUGCCCCCUUCUCUCCUUCUCCUUGCCCCCAUCCCUGGCUCUGUUAGUUUGUUUAAUUUUGCUUCGCAUCCGCUCCUUCCUUUUAAUUUUGCCAUGAAGGUUUAGUGUUGGCUUCAACUUUCAAAUGGGAAUUGGGAGCUGGUGAAGAUAAUAACAUCUUCUGGAACUGAGUCUGUUGUUUUACUGCCUGAUGGAAAAGAUGACGGAUAAGAAAGGAAAGGGCAAAGCAAGGGCGUCUAGUUCAGGUAAACAAAAGUGAACGACACAGCCCGCUACUACAGCGGAUGAUGGGCUACAGUCUGUAAAACAUAUCAUUGAGAGAGACAGAGUUGAUCAGAGUUACCUCCCACUGAUCUAUACACGUUCAACAACCUUUACUCCGAGCUAAAGUUCCCAACUUUUAAAGAGCGCAAUCUACACGUGGAAAGAAAACUCCAGAUUCUCGAAGAGCUAAAAAAGUAAACCGAAACUCAGAUUAAUGAUAGAGAAUAAGGGUUCUUAGAAAGGGAUCUUGUGGCUAUGAACACGUCCUGGGUCUGGGAGUUUUAUGUCAACUACUACAAUGCAGACCUCAACGUAGUUCACCUCUGAGACCAAAAGAUUUCAGUGGCUGAGGAGACUAUAGAGCAUAUCCUCCACCUUCUGCCUAGAUGAUGCGUGAGCAUCUUUUUUAUCUUUUCCUAGUGAAUUUGCACUUAAAUUAUUGAGUUUAAUCAAGAAUUAAUUAUCUUUUAGCCACUAUGGAUGCUACUUUGAGUCUUGUGCAAUUAUGUUUAUUUUAGGUAGCAUUUGGCUGGAUUUGAUGGAAAUGGAAAGAAUCACAAAGCUGUCAAGCCUGACCUCUUUGCAUUCAAUCAAUCAUAACUUGAGCUACAGAGGUCCAAAUGAGGCGGUUUUAGUUGCAUUGGAAAGCUAACAUCCGGUGCUUCGCAACGAUAUACAAUUCGCCAUAGUUGAUAUGGGGUUAAAGGGCGUGCACGUGCACAUGGCGAAAAGUCCAUCAGCGCGCACGCGCACCUGGCGCGUACGCAUGACAUGCGCGACGUAUUGCAAACUCAGAAUUCGCCCCCAGUGACUUCUGGGCUGCUUUUGACCCAGUUUUCAACCUAGAAGGCACAGAUCAGAGGCUGCAAAGUGAAGGAAUCAAGUGGUCCCCAUCCAUCAAUUGAAGACUUGCUGAUUGCCAUAAUUAAUUCUGAUUUAAAUUUAAUCUUUAUUUUUUAAUAGGAAAAAUAUAUUUUUUAGUUUUGAAAAUUAGGAUUAGAUAUAAAAGAAAUUAGGAUUCUAUACCAAUGAAUAUUUCAUACUUCCAGUUGACCUAAAUCCUUAUUUUUCUCUGAGUCAUGAGCAACUAAACCUCCAUUGUUAAGGUUAGGAGCUCUGUCUAUUGUAUGAAUUGAUACUAUUAUU